rnacentral:rRNA from 1 species
UGGGGAAUCUUAGACAAUGGGGGAAACCCUGAUCUAGCCAUGCCGCGUGAGCGAUGAAGGCCUUAGGGUUGUAAAGCUCUUUCAGCUGGGAAGAUAAUGACGGCACCAGCAGAAGAAGCCCCGGCUAACUCCGUGCCAGCAGCCGCGGUAAUACGGAGGGGGCUAGCGUUGUUCGGAAUUACUGGGCGUAAAGCGCGCGUAGGCGGACCAGAAAGUUGGAGGUGAAAUCCCAGGGCUCAACCUUGGAACUGCCUUCAAAACUCCUGGUCUGGAGUUCGAGAGAGGUGAGUGGAAUUCCGAGUGUAGAGGUGAAAUUCGUAGAUAUUCGGAGGAACACCAGUGGCGAAGGCGGCUCACUGGCUCGAUACUGACGCUGAGGUGCGAAAGCGUGGGGAGCAAACAG